rnacentral:rRNA from 1 species
GAUGAACGCUGGCGGCAGGCCUAAUACAUGCAAGUCGAACGGGAUUGAGGAGCUUGCUCCUCAUGAGUGUGGCGCACGGGUGCGUAACACGUAUGCAACCUACCUUGUCCAGGGGGAUAGCCCGUUGAAAGACGGAUUAAGACCGCAUAACAUUGAGCUGUGGCAUAACAAAUCAAUCAAAUAUUUAUAGGGACAAGAUGGGCAUGCGCCUGAUUAGGUAGUUGGCGGGGUAAGGGCCCACCAAGCCGACGAUCAGUAGGGGAUCUGAGAGGAUGACCCCCCACACUGGUACUGAGACACGGACCAGACUCCUACGGGAGGCAGCAGUAAGGAAUAUUGGUCAAUGAGCGAAAGCCUGAACCAGCCAUGCCGCGUGCAGGAGGACGGCCCUACGGGUUGUAAACUGCUUUUAUACGGGAAUAACCCCGGUUUCGUGAAACCGGCUGAAUGUACCGUAAGAAUAAGGAUCGGCUAACUCCGUGCCAGCAGCCGCCGUAA